rnacentral:rRNA from 1 species
UACGGGGGGGGCAAGCGUUGUUCGGAAUUACUGGGCGUAAAGGGCUCGUAGGCGGCCAACUAAGUCAGACGUGAAAUCCCCAGGCUUAACCUGGGAACUGCGUCUGAUACUGGAUGGCUUGAAUUCGGGAGAGGCAGGCGGAAUUCCGGGUGUAGCGGUGGAAUGCGUAGAGAUCCGGAAGAACACCGGUGGCGAAGGCGGCCUGCUGGGCAGUGGCUGACACUGGAGGCGCGACAGCGUGGGGAGCAAACGGGG